rnacentral:misc_RNA from 1 species
GUUGCGUCACGAGUCGACUUAAUCACGACUUAUGAGUGACAAUAUACUCGAUGUCGAAGGCAUUGUAACCCAACAAGUGGGGAGUUUGAUUUGGUUGGGACAAAUCGAACGAUCUGCGGUAGCAACGAUAAUGGUGUGGUAUGGAUGCAAUUUGAGCCAUGCCCAAUGUUGUUGUUACUUUUGUUGAUGAAUGUUGUUGAAUGCUGCUGGUUUUAUGCGUUGUUGAAGAUGACAUUCGUCUCGAGGUGAUGCGGUGUCAUGUUGCUUGUGUAUCCUGGUUUGUAGCUAUUCAGCUUAAAACACGUGRAUUAUCGGUUAGUGACACGGCAUCGCUCCCUUGGUUGAUGAAAGUCUUCCAAUGAUGCAGUGGUUUGUUUGUUUUGUUCUCGUAUCGCUCGGUGCAUUCUGUGGUCAUUUUGGCUGUUAGCGGCUUGCUUGGCAAUUGAGCUUGGUGGGUGGCUACCGGUUGGGUGUCUUCGGGGAUGUCUACCGUAAAGGUGCAUGAGUGGUGUUUGGUUUGUUACGGGUGGAUGGCUCUUUGCUUGCGCAACAACUUCCACCUGGCAUACCUCUUCAGUCUUGUGUCAAUGCUUGUAUUGCGUUGAAUGCGCGGCGGGUUUCUUGUGUUGCAUGCCUAAUUAAUGGUAUCGUUUGAUGAAUUGGUUUUCCUUUCGUCUUGUGUUGCUCAUGCGAUGUGAGAUGAACCUUGAAGCAGCCUUAGKGAUCCACUCUUUUGAUGCAUACGCAUUGAUUUUGUGGCUCGUUGAGUGUUGCUUGGUCUCAUGGAUAUGGAACAUGGUGUGGGCAUGGAAUCUUAAUGGUUCUUUGUUUGCCCAAGUUUAGCUUUUCUAAAACGAUUGUCU